UGGAUGUGAGGUUAUCUUUGUGUGCUUUU
rnacentral:piRNA from 1 species